GCAUUAAUGGGGUAGUGGUAACCUGGGUCGUUGCCAGAAUUAACGUACGCGUACGAUUCGACCCGCCGGGAGUUCGAUUCUCUCUUAAUGCA